AAAAUAACCCGCGAAACCGAAGACACCAACCCAGGCUACCUAGCACAGCGGCGAUUCUGACUCUGUUCACUUCUUCUCCUCCUCCAGUCCUCCUCUCGGUCACCGAGCUCCAGGAGUCCCGACCUCCAGUUCUUCACAUCGUUAGCGGGUUAUUCACUUAUUCUUCUACUUCAAUUGAUCAGUUAUUCGGCAGCUGGGCGGCUCGGCCAUUUGAAAUUGAAAUUGAAUCCGUCAGGUUAAAGAGGAUAGCAGAUGGGCUGCUACCACUAUCAGAUGAUCUACGAUAUGGCAAGACCUUGGUCGAAUAUUGUAUCAGAAAUCAGAAGUGCUUCAUAAUCAUAGAUGUUGGGUGGGAGCGCGGGGUAAUCAAAAGCUGUUUGAAUUUCCGUAAAUAGAGACAACAGUGGGAGCAAAGAGGAAAGCAUGGAUACCAGCAGGAUUAAAGCACACAAGGCCGACUCAAUGUAUUUUCAGCCUUUUCUACUAGCAUCUUCAUCGGUUUCGCAUCAUUCAGUACUGAGGAUCACACAACCCUUUGGAACUAAAACAUUAAGAGGAGCAUUGGCAAUGCCAUUGAUGAUCCAAGGAAUGAAGAAGGAUGUAAUUUAGUAUUCCAUCAUUACAUGCCGAAAACCUGAAUAGACCACAGUAUGAUGGGGGGUUUCUACAGAAUGUAAGUGCUCUUAUACACUCAUAUCCAUGCCUUUAUUUCUUUGGCUACAAAUCUCAGCUUUCACUUCAUCUAUACAAUUGUGUGCCUUGAUUUGCACUUAGGAGGAUCAUAAUCAAUAAGUGAAGCAUGACAGUGCCAUUGAUGAUUUAAGGACACAUGAAAGGUCCAAGUAUUCGGUAACUAUUCACGAAAGCCUUAGUAUGAUGGGGUUUCUACUCUGUCAGUGCAGUUUUAAUUUGUCUGUCUGCAAGUCUUGCAGAUGGAAACAAAAUCUGUAGAUGCAUCUUAUUUAUCCCAAAUGUGUGCCUUACUUUUUGUAAUCAUCAGUCAUCAGACAAUUUCUCGCUAUACCUCAUUUUUUAUAUAUGGUAAGUAUGCAAAAAAAAACUCAACCCCGCAUCAUCGCGCGGGCUACUUGACUAGUUCAUAUAAUUUUAUGUUUUUCAUUUGCUUAAUGAUUUCGGCCUUAUAAAAUUACUAUUGGACCGCAUGAGAAUUCUUUAAAUUGCAUCCUUAUCCAAAAUUCUUUUAAUGGCUUCCUCUUAUUUUUGCAGAAUUGUAGGUCUCGUUUAGUUCGAACACAGUUUAUCUCUAUAUUGCAACAAUAUCUGAACUGAUUGAACAAAAUACGUCGUUCCAUACACUAUCCAAUUGAUUUUUCCUCAAGUUCUUAACUACAUGCUGACCCAUUUUUUACAUUUAUUCAAGCUGAAGCUGUUUGGUCAUGGUGAGAAGGAAGCAAACCGCUAAUCGUAUUCGAAAUUCCACUUUGGAGGGUAAUGCUAAGCGUACCGGUCAAAGAACCAAUAACCCGCCUGGGGUUGUAAUGGCCAUUUGAAGGGUUGAUUUUUAUAUGAUAGCACACUUCUAAUGGAAAUACGUUGACCCCCUUGGGCUUUUAGUGAUGCCAAUUUAGUUUAUGGUGUUUUACCGUAAUUCUCUCGAGCAAUAAUGCUUCCCAAUUUAGUCUACGUUAUGUUUCACCGGAUAAGUAGGCACUGCAUUAUGGUUAUUUCUUGAUACAUGUCCUGUCCGUGCUAAGCUCAGCUCAAAGAACACUAGUGUAAACCAUGUUGUAGUCUCCAAUGUGAUGUUUUCGAAACCAAAGAUGUAGACGAUAAAAAAGUCAACUAAUUAUAUUGAAGUGCCUAUAUUGAAAUGGAAAUUGCA